CCCUUAGAUGUUCUGGGCCGCACGCGCGCUACACUGAUGCAUUCAACGAGCCUAUCCUUGACCGACAGGUCCGGGUAAUCUUUGAAUCUGCAUCGUAACGGGGAUAGAUUAUUGCAAUUAUUAAUCUUCAACGAGGAAUGCCUAGUAGGCGCAAGUCAUCAGCUUGCGUCGAUUACGUCCCUGCCCUUUGUACACACCGCCCGUCGCUCCUACCGAUUGGGUGUGCUGGUGAAAUGUUCGGAUCGGCCGUUUGUCGCGGUUUCCGCGGCUCGUGGCUGAGAAGUUCAUUAAACCCUCCCACCUAGAGGAAGGAGAAGUCGUAACA
rnacentral:rRNA from 1 species